UACGGAGGGUGCAAACGUUGCUCGGAAUUAUUGGGCGUAAAGCGCGCGUAGGCGGUUACUCAAGUCGGAUGUGAAAGCCCUCGGCUUAACUGAGGAAGUGCACCCGAAACUGAGUAGCUAGAGUACUAAAGAGGGUCGCGGAAUUCCCGGUGUAGAGGUGAAAUUCGUAGAUAUCGGGAGGAACACCGGUGGCGAAGGCGGCGACCUGGGUAGAUACUGACGCUGAGGCGCGGAAGCGUGGGGAGCAAACAGG
rnacentral:rRNA from 1 species